rnacentral:rRNA from 1 species
CCUACGGGGUGCACCAGGCGCGAAAACUUUACAAUGCAGGAAACUGUGAUAAGGGAACCCCGAGUGCCCGUAUACGCGGGCUGUCCAGGUGUUUAAAACGCAUCUGAAGAAAGGGCCGGGCAAGACCGGUGCCAGCCGCCGCGGUAAUACCGGCGGCUCGAGUGGUGGCCACUAUUAUUGGGCUUAAAGCGUCCGUAGCUGGACCGAUAAGUCUCUUGGGAAAUCCGCCGGCUUAACCGGCGGGCGUCUAGGAGAUACUGUUGGUCUAGGGACCGGGAGAGGUGAGAGGUACUCCGGGGGUAGGAGUGAAAUCCUGUAAUCCCUGGGGGACCACCUAUGGCGAAGGCAUCUCACCAGAACGGCUCCGACAGUGAGGGACGAAAGCUGGGGGAGCGAACCGGAUUAGAUACCCCCGUAGUC